rnacentral:lncRNA from 10 species
CGGAAGCCGCCUCGGGUUUUCUAGCGGAGCGCCGGAUUAGGCAGUCCCCGCCCCGGUGCCCCUGAUUGGGUAGGGCCUCAGGCCCCGCCCCCUCAGACUCUUAGUGACAGGUGACAGCUCCCGCGCGUGUCUGAAUGAGGCAGCGUUCUGGCUACAGCUCUUCUCCAAGAGGGUUUCCUCUCUGGGUUGGGACCCAGCCUUGCCUAGGGGACAUUCAUUUAUAUACACUUAACCUUGUAUACAAUGUUACAUUCAUUUGUGAAUAAUAUAUAUGAUAUUUAAAAUAGGAAACAAUAUAAUAAUAAUUCUUUUAAAAUUUCAGACUUAUUAACCUUCAUGGCCUCUGGUCUUCUGAGGAAGCAGUCUGAGGAGCCCGAGUUUUGAAAAGGGAAGCAAUCCUCCAAGGCUGCGAUUUCCACAGAAAUCACAUGUGAGCCACAGGUGUCAUUUUAAAAUUUCCCAUCUCCUCUUUGACUUUUAACAUGAAAUUCUCAUGAUCAUUUUAUGUUAUCAAUGACCAGUCAUAGGUUUUAAAAUGCUGGCUGUUACUUGUGUAUAAUAACAAUGACAUUUUUAUUAAUAAAACAAAACACGGGAUACUUUUUUUUCUACAAUAUUUAGAAUAGUCCGAGGUGAAAGCCAACAUAAGGAUGAACUUGAUCUGCAUUAUCUGUUUCCUGAGAGGGCUCGGGAGCUUCACCCUCAGCCCCAGCCACCCAUGGCUGUCACUUCUCACAGUGAGGGCUGAGAGUGUGACCCAGACGAAUUCAAUUUACCGAGUGUCGGUGACUUCUGCUCACUUUCUCCAAUGAGCUCCAUCCUCGGGGGACUGAUUUUUAUACCACACCUGGCUAAUUUUGUAUGUUUUAGUAGAGACGGGGUUUCUUCCUGUUGAUCAGGCUGGUCUCGAACUCCCGACCUCAGGUGAUCUGCCCGCCUCCGCCUCUCAAAGUGCUGGGAUUACAGGCGUGAGCCACUGUGCCCAGCCUCAAAUUCUUUUAAUAUAUCCCACAAAAAAAGAGAUUUGUCCUAUUCCUUCUCAUUCUAGCAUUCUAGUCUUCAUAGAUAUAUGUAUUUGUUUUAUGUUUUCUUUUUUUGAGAUGUAGUCUUGGAGUGUCGCCUGGGCUGGAGUGCAAUGGUGCAAUUUUGGCUCACUACAACCUCCGCCUCACAGGUUCAAGUGAUUCUUCUGUCUCAGCCUCUGGAAUAGCUGGGAUUACAGGCGCCUAUCACCAUACCCAGCUAUUUUUUUGUAUUUUUAGUAGAGACAGGGUUUCACUAUGAUGGCCAGGCUGGUCUGGAUCUCCUGACCUCAUGAUCCGCCCACCUCAGCCUCCCAAAGUGCUGGGAUUACAGGCGUGAGCCACCGGGCCUGGCUGUUUUUUUUUUUUUUUUUUUUAACAAAUAUUUUAGUCUUAUUUGUAAAUCAUUUAUACAUAUUCACACGAAGAAAAAUAAAUUUCAGAAUGGAAUCUUGGGACCAUUGUAGUUAAAAAAAAUAUAUAUAUAUAUAUAUAUUUCUGAUCAUUAGCCACUUGAAGACAAGGCAAGAGGCUUAGCAGUCAUUUCUAGGGGUUAGUGUAUCUCCCCAUGCAAGGGACAAUUGAGAAGAAUCCAAGCUGCUCCCUCAUCUUCCCUCAAUUUUAACCUUCUGGAGACAAUAUGGGGGAAGGGGAUUUUCCAGUGCUUUCCCCUAGAAACAUUGCAAGAGGUACAGCCAAGUCUUACGGUAACACUGAACCUGCUCUUUGCUAGCAAUUUAGCAAGUUUGCAACCUGUGAACCAACCUACUAGAAGAGUUAGCCUAAUUCCUAUUCACAGGUACUUCUAAGAGGAGGAGGGAUUGCUGCACUCAUCACACCCGCUUCCCACUUGCUCUGUUCUCCCACCAAGGCCCCAGAACAGAGCUCUUGAUCUCAUCUGAUCUAGUCCCUCCCCGCUCCCACCCAGCCUCAUUUCACAAGUGAACCUUCCUCCCACCCCACACUCAGACAGACACUCUGUAACUGUUGGCCCUGGCAGCUCCUGAGGACUGCUGGGAUGAUGACACAGCAUUUUUGCAUCAGCAUCGUACUCACAGGGACUCGGAGCUCAGCCAGGAGAGGUCCAAGAAUGACGGAACUCUAGAACCCCUACCAAAACUCAGCUCUGCAGAGCCAAAUAAACAAUUCAACCCAACAGGCCAACUCCUAACAUCCCAUCCCAGACAGUCAUCACUGGAGGCGCGCAGUAGAUGAACCUCCUACUUGCACUGAACCAUUACCAAUUCCCAGUAACAGUGGGGGAAAGGACAGACAUGACAAAUGUGGUAGACCCUAUCAGAAAUGGUAGCUGAUGACAACAGUUAGCCUAGAUCACUGGGUCCUAUCCAAAAAGAACGGGCAUGAUGAGCAGAGGGCUCUGUAGCUGGAUGUACAGCCCUUAAAUUACUAAGGGACUCAGAGAAAACAAGCCUUGUUUUCCUACGAUUAUCUAGGAACUGGAACACGGACUACCCACCCCUAUGUUGAGGCAGCUUCUGACAGGCCUUACUGCUUACGGUCAUCGGUCAUCAGCCCACCCGCUUGGUAGGUGCAUUUGGGGGGAGGGACUCACAUCACAUCCAGAGGGGGGACCCAUCUAGGCGGACACCACAGGGCAGCCCAUCCCACUGUCACUGGGGCAGGCCAAACACGGUUAGCAGGGCGGACUGAUUCCAGCCAUCAGCCGCCCUACAGGCGUCGCUCUGGCCUAACACAGAAUGCGAAAUGCAGGGUGCUCCAAGUGUUCUCCGACAUGGCACCUCCUUCACCCCGAGGGCCCCGGCUUUUCUUCCACAUGUUCAGGGCCUCCAGAAAGUGCUCUGCAGCCUCCCAGUGAGCCCCAGGUUAUAGCCUCCCAGUGAGCCCUGCAGCUGAUGCCCAGGUUAUAGCGGGACUGGAUAUAGCCAGGCUGGAGCUCAAGGGCCUGGCAGUAUGAAGUUACUGCUUCUUCACUCUGGUUUUCCUUCCACAGCAAAUAGUCAUUGGGAUGAACACUGAAGGUAGCUGUGAAGCAGUUCAUGGCCUUGUCGUAUUCUCCACUCAGGUUGAAAAGGACCUGCAAGCCACACUGCACAUCAGGGUCCAUGGAUGUAGGGUCCAGUUGCACAGUUGCUAGGAAGAGCUCUUUCAUUUCAAGAAACAGGGAGUCAGACAACAGAGAUCCCAAGAUAUGCUUGCUGGCGCCCAGUCCUGCCCCGCCAGCCCCUUCUUCAGCAGGUGUCACCAGAUAGCCACAGGCUGGUGUGUGGCAGGGUUUCACAGGCCUGUCACUGCAGAGGCUCAUUGGUAAAGCCUGCAGCCGGGGCCAUCAGUGCUUAUCUGGCUUUAGCUCCAGACACCUCUGCAAUGCUCUGAUGGCUCACAGUUCUUGUUCAUUCUCUGCCUGGUUGGUACCCAGAUACGGCCAAGCUUCCAUGUGCUUAGGAUCCUGCUGCAUAGCUGCCUCAAAAAGCAGCACAGCAUUUGGGAGGGCCCUCUCCUGAAGUCGCUGCAGCCCUUC